AUUGAACGCUUGCGGCAGGCCUAACACAUGCAAGUCGAGCGGAGCGGCGGACGGGUGAGUAAUGCCUUGGAAUCUGCCUGGUAGUGGGGGAUAACGUCCGGUAACGGGCGCUAAUACCGCAUACUAUCAUUACAGCCUUGGUCGGAGUAGCUAGGUGGGGGGGUAAAGGCCUACCAAGGCGACGAUCCGUAACUGGUCGGAGAGGAGGAUCAGUCACACUGGAAGUGAGACACGGUCCAGACUCCGACGGGAGGCAGCAGUGGGGAAUAUUGGACAAUGGGCGAAAGCCUGAUCCAGCCAUGCCGCGUGUAUGAAGAAGGUCUUCGGAUUGUAAAGCACUUUAAGUUGGGAGGCGUUACCAACAGAAUAAGCACCGGCUAACUUCGUGCCAGCAGCCGCGGUAAUUC
rnacentral:rRNA from 1 species